rnacentral:rRNA from 1 species
ACUCCUACGGGAGGCAGCAGUAAGGAAUAUUGCGCAAUGGGCGACAGCCUGACGCAGCGACGCCGCGUGGGGGAUGAAGGUCUUCGGAUUGUAAACCCCUUUCGGCAGGGAAGAUGGAACGGGCAACCGUUCGGACGGUACCUGCAGAAGCAGCCACGGCUAACUUCGUGCCAGCAGCCGCGGUAACACGAAGGUGGCAAGCGUUGUUCGGAUUUACUGGGCGUACAGGGAGCGUAGGCGGUUGGGUAAGCCCUCCGUGAAAUCUCCGGGCCUAACCCGGAAAGUGCGGAGGGGACUGCUCGGCUAGAGGAUGGGAGAGGAGCGCGGAAUUCCCG